GGAGUCUUUGCGACCGUUGCGAGCUCGGCUACACGAUAGAAAAUUGUUGGUGGAACUUAUUGAGAAGUAAGGAACAAGCCGAGCCCUAUUUUGUACAAGGGGAACCCUUUUGGUACUAAAGGGUUGAGGUCCAGGCGAAGGAUCCAGUGGUGGACGG